rnacentral:lncRNA from 12 species
AUGAGGCUGGCAUUGGGAGAAUCCAAGCAAAAUGUCAGAAUAUUGGGAGACCUCACAUCCAUUUGGAAACUUCUACCCAUGUACACUUAUGAAGCUUCCAUGAAGCACAAAAGCCCCCCAAGAGGAAACUGGUCUGCAGGGCGGCUGUGGCUCUGCUGGCCCUGGCUGUGCUUGGCUCUGGAAUCUGACUCUCCCUCAGGUCUGUUCCCCAAAUUUUCUCAUCCCAGGACAAGGCUGAAGGAGUCUCCAAGGUUGCCACAAAUGGACAGCUCUUCUAGAAGCUUUGAACCUGUAUGCCACAUCCAUUCAGAUUCCACUGACCACAGCAAGUCACAUAGCCAAGCCUGUCAUCCAAGGUGUGGACGGUGUCUGCUCCCAUGGGGGUGAGGGCUUUAGAGAGUGGACAUCUGCUGGACAAUAAUACAGUUUUGCCUAGUGAGAGGUCUGGUAACCUCUGUGGCCAGUGACGACAUUGGAACCCAUUUCCGAGCUGCCAGCCUGUGAUUUCUCCUGAGGCUCUCCUUCACUGCAGGCUACAUAUUAAGAGCCUGCCAUGUCUUACCAUGUCUACAUGCAUGCUUGUUGCUACAGAUGCCCAAACCUCACUGGUGAGAAGGCAUUGAAUGUUAAAGUGGGCAUCUGUUUUGAUUGGUUUGGUGCCCACGCAGUUGUUAAGUAUUUUAAACAUCAUCCCUGAAUGUAUAUACAAAUGCAAACCGUAUAUUUAACCCCUUUUCUGGCCUGGCACCAUAUCCUCUUCUUGAGGAUUGGAUCAUUCAGUAACCAUAUUUGCCAUAUCCACGAGAACCCCAAAGGGGGAAUGCAUUGAAAAUAAAAGCAUAGAGGGGUGCCUGGGUGACUCA